rnacentral:rRNA from 1 species
CCUACGGGUGGCAGCAGUGGGGAAUAUUGCACAAUGGGGGAAACCCUGAUGCAGCGACGCCGCGUGAGUGAAGAAGUACUUCGGUAUGGAAAGCUCUAUCAGCAGGGAAGAAAAGGACGGUACCUGAUUAAGAAGCCCCGGCUAAACACGGGCCAGCAACCGCGGUAAAACGUAGGGGGCAAGCGGUAUCCGGAUUUAAUGGGUGUAAAGGGGGAGUAAACGGGAGCACAAGUCUGGAGUGAAAGGCGGGGGGUUAACCCCGGAACUGCGUUUGAAACUGUGCAGCUUGAGUGCAGGAGAGGUAAGUGGAAUGCGUGGUGUAGCGGUGAAAUGCGUAGAUAUUA